CCUCCUCACCCUACUUCUUCCCCCACCUUCAUGGGCCUUGGGCCCAGAUAGGCCUCCCCUGCUCCUGCUAGGACAUCUGCCCCCAACCAGCCCUCACCAGGCCUGAUGAUUCCCACACUCCAUCAUGGAAGCCUCGCGUCCCUCCCAGAACUCCUGGGAAGGUGAUGUCCAGCAUCCUGGUGACAUGGUGAACACGGGGGGCACUGGAUGAUGACCAGCAGGCACACAACCAGGAUGGGCACCUCCCUCAGGUGUGACAGUUAUCAAUUUGUUGCCCCUGAACUCCAAAUCUACCCUUCAUUACCUGCUCUGCAGUAGUAAGAUAGCUCUUUGAAGCAUUUCUCACUUGCAUCGAGAACAAUAUUGAGCCAUGGCAGUAGAUGGCGCUGGAGGGACGCGGCAGGAGGAAGAAACUUCCCUUCCGGGGCCCAGCGGGCUUCUGUUUGCUUCAGCUCCUCUGCACCUGCUACCAGAGAUGAACGCAUGGGCACAUCCUCUGCUCUGCCCCAGCUAUGCAUCCAGAUGUGGGCUCACGGCCUCAGGCCUAGCCCAGUGCCCACUUCACUACGGCCCACUUCAUGGACUCUGCAAACCUCAGGCCUCAUGUGCCCUGCUGGAGAACAGACCACCGACUCCCCUGGGCACCAGCCUGCCGGCCUCAGCCCACUGGCUCCCGGGGGAAGUGUUUCCAGGGGCCAUCCAGACAUGGGCACAAGCACCCCAGGCCUUCACCACUCUGCCUGUAAGUAGGUUCCUGACUUGGACUCCCCCAGGGCACUCCCCGCCAGCCUCUGCCAUCAGCAACCCAGAGGGACAUUUGAUGCUGACCUGGAGACUAUCGGCCAGGCCUUGCACAUUUUUCAACAAGGUGUGAAUCCCAGCUUGAAGGAGAGGACACUCUUCCCAUCUGUUCCCUCCUUGGAUACUCUCCUGCCUUAGAAGGUUCUGUACAGGUCUCUUAGGGUUACUCCACUGCUAAGGUAAUAAUUUUUACGAUUAAAUUUUCCAUAUUCAAAUUA